GGUCAUUUGCGGAAUCGCCAGUUCACGGGAUUGGCCAGUCGUUUCAGCGGGUGCGAGAGAGAAAAUCUGGGGGCGUUUGCGCCUUAAAUUUCUCCCUUUACCUAGGUACCACGGCGGAGCAGUUUCUUUGCUCGUUCUGUCCCUAGGCGUGCCUUGGCGUGGAGGCAUUUUGCCAUGUGUCGGCUGGCGAUCCGUGCGUCGUGUACAAGUUUUCCUCGUGCGUCUCCUUGGGUGUUGCUGGCACAGUGCACUGGCGCGAACGAUUGUUGUCGUUUGGUCAGUGGUCUCCCGUGAAGAACCUGUCACCACAAAAGUGAAUUGACGUCAGUGCAAAGAUUUAAAGGAACUUGCAUGGCUUGUGUACAGGAUACAACAUUUCUUGGGAGUGUUCUCAGCCUAGGUUGUGAAAGACUGCUUUAAACUCAUGGGGACAACUGAGAGUGACAAGAGGCAUUAUUUUGUUGAGACUUUUCAAUCAUCAUGAUGUCGAUGGCACUGUCUUCAAAAAUCACCAUUGGAUUGCCCCUCUUCAGCGGGCAAGGCAGCAGCAGCACCAAUAGAUCGUGCUGUCGAGGACUGGAUUCGUCGACGCAGGGUCUGAGCAUGCGCUGCAUCAGGCCUAUCUACUGCUACCUCUGGCUGUCUGCCCUGCUGGCUUCAUCGGACGAAACAAGUCGCAGGAAGCUGUACCACGUGCACUGCACUGGGACCACCUGACCAGCACGGUGACGUCGACAGAGACACCAUGGCACCCGGAUAAAAGCAGCAGCCUUUUCGACGUUACCUUCAGUGGACUUGGAAGCACUGAACGAGUACGGAUGCUGAUCGAAUUUUUUCUGAUCGCGCAGGUUAGUGACCAGCAUUUAGUCUCUUCAACUAGAGACAAUGACGUAACGUUAAUGGUGCUCCCAAGUCCACAAUGCUGUGUUGCUAUUUUGCAAGAUUGUUUUAAUGUUGUCUGCUUAAUGUUACUAACAUUCGGAGACGUUGAACAAAAUCCAGGUCCUGGCUCUGAUUCAGAUGAAUGUUCGCAGCGGGAACUAAUGAAACGCAUUCUAAGAGAACAAAAGGAAACGAACAAAACACUGAAACAACUGUCUUCAAAUAUCAAGCACGUGGAGACAAUAGUUGCAGAUUUGCAAGAAAGAAUGACAGUUAUUGAGAAUGAAAGGGGAUUAUGGAAAGAAUGCGAAGACAAGAUAGUACACUGCGAGGAAUCUUGUAAAUCUACCAUGACGCAAGUAGAAUUUCUGGCAUCGAAGGUCGAUGAUCUAGAAAAUAGAAGUAGGCGGAAUAACCUAGUAAUUUAUGGAUUAAGAGAGAGCUCUGCUGAAGAUGUUAAAACACUUGAAGAAGAAGUGCGAGACGGUAUAUUUAGGAAGAUCCUAGGAAUAGAAGUUAACUCAAUAGAACGACUUCACAAAAUUGGUACAAAGCAAAGCCAAAGGACACGCCCUGUUAUUAUCAGGCUAUUCAACUUCGCUGAGAAAAACAAAAUAUUAUCAAGCUGCUUCAAGCUGAAAAACACCCAGAUUUCAAUAUCCGAAGAUUUCUCAAAGAAAGUAUGCGACACACUUGCUAAAUUAUGGCGUUCUGCAGUAAGUGACAAGGCGAAAGGGGCAAAGGUAUCUCUGGCAUUUGAUAAACUAAAAAUAAAUGGCAAAACCUUCAUAUGGAAUGAGUGUGAGGACAGAAGAAUUGAACUAUCUAAACCGAUAACUUCUGCACAUGCUGGCUCAGCAGCUCGCGAUUGCACGUGACAACAAUGUACGAAAUGUAUCAGAGUGUUAUCACUGAAUGCGCGCAGCGUAGUCAAUAACUUCAGCCUACCUGAAAGCAUAGUUGCAGCCCAUCACCCACACGUUAUAGUCAUCACGGAAACCUGGCUUCACGAAAGCGUCCAGGAUUCCGAAGUGUUUCCGCCUUAUCGGCUCAUACGGAAAGACAGAGAAUCGCGGGGGGGAGGUGUUGCUGUCGCAAUUAAAUCUAACAUAAAAUUCACAGUUUUAAACAGCAUACCUGACCAUGAAAGCGUAUGGUGUAAACUUACAUUUAAUGGAAAAAGCAUAUUUCUGGGUGGCCUAUAUCGACCUCCGAAUGCGCCCCCUGUAUACCUAGACGUUAUGCACAAUUACAUUGCACAACACACUAAUUCACGUUCCAAUAUUAUCAUCACAGGUGAUUUCAAUUUACCAGGAAUCAACUGGUCUAAUCUUUCGCACAACAGCUGUGACGCAAAAAGUGCUGAAUCUCUGUUGUUCAUGUCAUUUACCUUUUCUCUAGACCAGCUAGUUUCCGAACCGACUAGAAUAGCUGGUCCGUCAUGUUCUGUGCUUAAUCUGAUGUUCGUAAGCAGUCUAUUUCAAAAUAACACAUUAAACGUUGAAAAUAGCAUUUCGGACCAUAAAAUGAUUGUAUUCUCCUGUCCAAUUUUAGGAAACCGUGAACGCGUUAAGCCAUCGAUUGCUGUUAUCAGGGAUUACUCAAGAGCGGAUGACAAUGCUAUCUCAGAAUAUUUAAACGCCUGCUUUCUGCAGUUUUCAUUACUUCAUGACGUAAAUUAAUUAUGGUUAUGUUUUAAGCGUAUUGUGCACUUUUGUGAAGAAAACUACAUUCCCUCCAGAAAGAAACGAGUGAACAGAGAACAUCCUUGGGUAUCGCGCGAAGUAAUAUAUUUAAAACGAAAAAUUAAGAGGAAGCGCAGAAAGAAAACCACACGUGACCUUCAAGAUCUCAUACGCUUACUACAAUAUAAGAUCCAUAUGGCCAAGGAGCGUUUUUUCACUGUUACUCUGCCUUCUUACCUGACGAAUAAACCACAAAAAUUCUGGCGCUACCUAUCGAGGGAGCGGCACACCGUAUCGCAGAUUACUGUUUCGAACGAGACAGUUGUUCAGCCUGACGUCAUAGCAAGCAAAUUUAAUGAAUUUUUUCAAUCUGUAUUUAACAGAACUACCUUUAACGGUCCCUCUCCACAGUAUCAGUUCGAGAAUCCAAUGCCUGAAAUAGAUAUUGACCUACAAGGAAUUUUUUUACUCUUACAAAAACUGGAUGUAAAGAAUCCCUGUGGCUCUGAUCUUAUAUCAAAUGCUUUUUUGCAAAAACAUGCAGUUUGGACGUCAAAAUACUUACACGUAAUUUACAGGCGAUCUUUGGAAACUUCAGUGAUACCUGAUGACUGGCGAAGGGCCAAAGUAAUACCUGUGCACAAAUCUGGCUCUAAACUCGACGUAACUAUAGACCUGUUUCAUUAACAUGUACAUCCAGUAAAUUGUUCGAACAUAUUAUUUAUAAGGCCAUAAUAUUGCACUUGGAGAAUAAUAACCUACAAUACAGCCGGCAACAUGGAUUCUGUUCAAGUCUAAGUACUAUUACUCAGCUGAGUUAACCCAUGAUGUAGCUACAUCAAUAAAUAACAGAAGCCAAAUAGAUGCCAUUUUCUUAGAUAUUUCAAAGGCCUUUGAUGUUAUUCCUCAUCCAGAUCUUAUUACUAAACUAAUUGCCAUUGGUGUACACGAGAAAACAGUAUCGUGGAUCAAGAACUAUCUCGAAAACCGAAAGCAAUGCGUAGCUGUGAAUGAUAUUACAUCUGAUUACAUCAACGUUUUUUUUCUGGUGUUCCGCAACGCUCGGUUCUUGCGCCCCUCCUAUUUCUGAUCUACAUCAAUGAUAUUCGUUCAUGCGUUCAGCCGCCUAUUCAAAUGCGCCUAUUCGCCGAUUAACGCGUAGUGUACACAACAGUGAAUACUGUAGCACGGCUGAAUCUGCAGUCGUCACGGUGCACCAGUAAUCCCGUGAUCUGUUACGUCACGUAGGCUUCACUAUAUAUGUAACUUGCGCAACCGCAAUAAGGUUGUUGCUCACCCAACUGCUGGCCUGGCUACAUGGUAGCAGCGGUGGCAGCGAAACCCAGCCAAUAUGUCGAUGGCGUCCGCGCUACUACCGCCCCCGAAGCCUAUGGAUCCGUCGCACGACCCUUGGAUUGCCUGGAAAACUUGGAAAAGUGAGUUUCUGCUGUUUUCCAUUGUUACGCAAUUGAACAAGCAGCCAAAAGACGUUCAAGCAGCCACGUUGCUAGUUACCAUAGGCGAAGAGGCUAGGAAGUCGUAUAGUACCUUCAAGUUCGAUGAAGCGGAAGACAGGAAUGACGUUGAAGUUCUGAUUAAGAAAUUUGAGGAUCAUUACAAGCCUGCAACGAACUUAACAUUCCAAGAAUUCCGUUUCGGUUCAAGGAACCAAAAAGAAGGCGAGAUGUUUAACGAGUGGCUAACAGAACUGCGUGUGUUAGCGAAGAACUGUGAAUUUGGGGACGCACCAGUGAUCCCGUGAUCUGUUACGUCACGUAGGCUUCACUAUAUAUGUAACUUGCGCAACCGCAAUAAAGUUGUUGUUCGCCCAGCUGCUGGCCUGGCUACAAAUACCAGAGAGGAUCAGGUAAAACUAAAUGAUUCGUUAGCUGCUGUACAAAAUUGGUGCAACAUUUGUGGUGUGACGAAGAAGAUCGGCAGGCUGAAAAGUCCCGUUGCCAUCGCAUGGCACGUACCCAGUUCGUUCGCUGGCUGCGCCCUACCUGCUGGUGCUGAGUUUGUCGCUGCUGCUCUACGAGCCGAAUAAACCCCCUUUACAAUUGGUGGAGGUGCUGGGUACGUGCCACGCGAUGGCAACGGGGCUUUUCAGCCUGCCGAUCUUCUUCGUCACAAUCACCUACUCACGUCUCCGCCAAUCUUGUGGCAUUUUGAUCCCAGCGCACCUACAGAACUUCACACUGACGCCAGUGGUGUCGGCCUUGGUGCCGUGCUCGCACAACGCAAGAACACUAAUGCCGAAUACGUAGUCACCUAUGCCAGUCGUGCCCUCACGAAACCUGAGGCCAAUUCCUCAGUAACAGAAAAAGAGUGCCUGGCUAUCGUAUGGGCUCUUCAAAAAUUUCGUCCAUAUGUCUACGGUCGAUGCUUUGAUGUGGUGACGGAUUAUCACACUCUUAGCUGGUUGUCCAACCUAAAAGACCCAUCGGGCCGCCUCGCUUGGUGGGCCCUCCGAAUCCAGGAAUAUGAUAUCCGUGUCGUUUAUCGCUCUGGACGCAAACACGCUGACGCCGAUGCCCUCUCGCGCUCCCCAGUGACUUCAGACAGCAGCACUUCUACCGACAGACAUGACAUCUCACCACUUGACAUCCUGGACAUGGCAUCGGAGCAACAAAAAGACCCAUGGAUCGUCAUGGUGUUCGACUUUUUGUCAAAUCCUCCGGCAACUUCGGCACCUCGAGCGCUACGCCGACAGGUGCAGCAUUUCACAAUCCGGGAUGGACUUUUAUACCGCCGCAACUACCACAAUGACGGCCGCAAAUGGCUUUUAGUAGUACCUCGCCACCUACGACAAGAGUUCUGCUCCGCUUUUCAUUCUGACCCACAGUGUGGUCACGGCGGAGUGUCAAAAACUUGCACACGGCUUUGCCUACAAUAUUAUUAGCGAGGGAUGUACACCUUCGUCCACAAAUAUUUACGCUCCUGCAUUGCCUGCCAGCAAUGCCAAUGUGUCCCGCAUCUCUCCACCGCAUCUCUCCAACCACUUCCCUGCCCAGCUCAGCCAUUUGACCGUGUCGGCAUUGAUAUCUAUGGGCCUCUUCCAUCUACUGGCGCGGGCAACUGAUGGAUUGUUGUCGCCGUAGAUCAUUUGACACGGUAUGCUGAAACCGCCGCCUUGCCUGCCGCAUCAGCAAAAAACAUCGCCUCGUUCAUUAUAAACAACUUCGUUCUCCGCCAUGGCACACCAUGUGAACUGUUGAGCGAUCGGGGCUGCGUAUUCCUCUCAGAUGUCCUGCAGUCACUCUUAUCUGAAUGCCAAAUUAUUCACCGCACUACUACUGCUUAUCAUCCACAGACCAAUGGCUUAACAGAACGAUUCAACAGAACUCUUGGUGACAUGCUAUCAAUUUAUGUUGCAUCUGACCACUCCAACUGGGACCUUGUACUUCCGUUCGUCACUUACGCAUAUAACACUGCCUCUCAAGCCACCACCGGAUUCUCACCAUUUUUUCUGCUUUACGGCCGGCCGCCAUCCCUCCAGCACCAUUGAUACGGUUCUCCCGUACCGGCCGGACCCUGCUGAAUGCUCACCUGUUUCUACGGUUGCUCAGCACGCCGAGAAAUGCCACCAACUAGCCCGUUCGUUGACGUCUGCUCAACAGUGCCGCCAAAAAGAAUGCCAUGACCUCAAUCCUCCCCCUCACCCCUUCCCCGUCGACUCACUCGUGUGGCUUUGGGUCCCGCCUGUUGCUGCUCCUGGCUUUUCGUCCAAGCUCCUCCCGAAGUACCACGGGCCCUACUGCGUAGUUGCACAAACAUCACCAAUGAACUACGUGGUCGAACCCGUAUCGCCAUCUUCCGAUCUGCGUCGUCGGGGGCGAGAGACUGUGCACAUUGACCGGCUGAAGCAGUAUUACGAUCCGCCCACCUCUUCCUAGGUCGCCAGGAUGGCUACUCUUCAAUUCCGGGGGUGAUUGUGACGAAGAAGAUCGGCAGGCUGAAAAGCCCCGUUGCCACCGCGUGGCACGUACCCAGUUCGUUCGCUGGCUGCGCCCUACCUGCUGGUGCUGAGUUUGUCGCUGCUGCUCUACGAGCCGAAUAAACCCCCCUUACAGGGGGAUGAAACUGAAUGCAUCAAAAACUACCAGUAUCUCCUUCACUCACAAGAAAAAUGCGCUUCAGUUUACAUACACAAUAAACAAUAUAUCACUAAGAAAAUACGAGGAGGUCACAUAUCUCGGGGUCACUCCUACAAUGAAAUUAGAUUGGGAAACUCAUAUAAAUAAUGUGUAUGACAAGGCCCUAGGUAAACUACAUUUCUUGAGAAGAAAAGUUAGAAACACACCUCCUAGUGUUAAAUGCACACAGAACCCUCAUUAGACCCUCUUUAGAGUAUGCUGACAUUAUUUGGGCCCCACACCAGAAGUAUUUAACCGAGAAACUAGAACGCAUACAGAACUUAGCAUUGAGAUUUAUAUAUUCACAAUAUUCACGUCAAACGAGCAUUACAAACCUGCGCGUCAAGGCUAACGUUCAAUCACUGGCUCAACGUAGAAUGAUUUCCAGAUUAAAAUUUCUAUGCUUACUUUAUCACGGCUCCUAUUGAGUACCACAAGCAACAUACAUUCAAGCGCCAUUCAGACUUUCUGCCUGAACCAACCAUAAUAAAUCAAUACGACACCAUCCCAGCCAUAAUAACACUCGCAAGUACUCUUUAUUCCCACACGCCAUUUCCCAUUGGAACAUAGUACCCUCUAGAGCCGUAAAUUGCCCAUCUGCCAACGCAAUUAUUGACAGUAUUGAGAAUCUGGAAUUCGAAUGGUGAUAUUGCCUGUAUUUCAUAUGCAGCCUCUGUAGAUGCAUUCUUAUGGUAAACGCUGUUUCGCCUGCUUCCCGGACGGCUCAUUUAAACAGUGUAUAUAUUUAUUGAGUAUGUUCAUUUUUGUGUGUGCUAAUGCUCUUUGUUUUGGAUACACUAGUUUAAGUUUAUUCUUUUUUUUGUACUGUAUUCCAUGUUGUAACCACUCCUGCAUGGGCCCGACGAUGGCCUGCAGUAUUGUAAAAUAAAUAAAUAAAUAAGAAUGCAAAAACAAUAUAUGUAUACAUAUAUACACAUAUACAUACACACACAUACAUAUAUAGAUAUAACAAAUUUCACAGAAGUUUACAAUAAACACAAGUUACCAUCAGGAAACGUUCUUUUUUUUUAGAAAUUAUUUUACAUACUUGCAAAUAUAUAUGUGCAUCUAUGUUAAAAAACAUAAAAAAAGAAAAAUCUGCA